rnacentral:lncRNA from 1 species
CAGAUAUGGGCCUGAUCUUGACAAACUGGCUGUGCACACAAAGCUCAAGUCUCUUCCUCCUGACCACAAAGAUAAUGACCUUCACAAAUAUCUUGUGGGAAGAGACAAUGAGAUUCCCAGUCAAGUGCUAAGUCUUGGUAAGUUCAAUUUCAGAUAACCUCUUCUUCUUCCUUUCUUUCCUUAAUUCAUGUAGUUUUCUCUGUCUCUUCAGUGUUUUUCUGACUUGAUGGUGCCUGGUCAAGAAAGGGCCAUAGAACAAGUCAAUACCAGAAUGAGCCAUGUGGAAAAGGGCAGCUGAACACAAUCUCCUCCUGUCUGAAUUAGUGCCUGCACUGGUGAUCUGGCUUAUUGGUGGGAAGUCAUCUGUCAUCCAGACACCCAGGGGGCCAGUAUUUAAUAAAGGUGUGUUGAUUGACACAGGAAUUAUUCCAUCCAUAAGUUGUAGCCUUGGUAUCGGAGGAAAAAGCCAUGUAGGACUAGAUGUCAUCUCUGCAGUGGGCAUAACUGGACUGAGGUAUUCAGUAAGCAACAUUCUCUGCAUCUGGGAUUCUAUGGACAUCAACACUCACUUGCACACAGAUGGUUUCUCUUUCCCACCCCCAUUCUCAGUGUGUGAAAUCAUUCCAGCGUCUAAACUGCCAUCUUCAUGCAUGGUACCUCAACUCUGUGCUCACGAGCCAGAAUAAUCCAUGCAGCCAAGUCUCUGCCCUGGCUGAAUGAGAGAGGAUGACUGGAGGCUAGAUUCACCAGCUGGGAGAGCCCAUGGUUACUUUUCUGGCUUUGUCCUCACCCAGCAUGACAAAGCACCAGCAACUAUGGGCUGCCCCAGAGGGCACUGGAGGCAUCUGACCUUUUCAUCCCUAGGAGUCCGUGGUCUUAAGAGAAGAAUGACAUAAUGGCCCUCUGUUCUUAGUGGGCUCUGCUGAGUUAAGCUGGGCCGAUGGAGAGAAUGGUAAAAGCCCUGGGGGAGCAAGGGUCCCCGAAGGUCAUCUUACCCAUUCUUCUGCCUCUGGGAAGGGUGGCUAAUUAGCAACUUAGUAGGUCAAAGAUGCAAUGAGAAGAAGGUGAGUCUGAUCACCCUUUAAUUUGGGAUGUACAGAAAGGAAGACUCUACAGUUUCCUUAGUUAAUAAUCUGGUACCUCAUGUCCUGGAUGCUCAGUUCUUCCUGCUUCUCUUUUCAUCCAAUGGUUCCCUGUUUUUGUCCAAGCAACCUUAUUCUGUCUGAGGUUCAGCUGAUUCUGGAGACUAAACCUUCACAGCCAUUAAAGAAUUGCUUUUGGCCCCUGCCACACUCAUACUUCCUCAGACUUCAUCUUGAAGGUUUUCAUUAAGAACAGAAUUUAUGUAACUAAAGUCUGGGCAAGGCAUAGAUGAUGAGGAGGUGACAACGAUAAACAGAUAAGUUAGGGACUUCAGGAACUUCGAUGCCAUGCGAAUCCUUUGGCUGUAAGCAUCUUUCUAUGUCACUUGAGGAGUUUGGAUGUGUGCAGAAGCUCAAGAAGAUAAGUGGUCAAGAGAAGAUCACCUCGGUCAAGGCAGAUCUAAGUCCAAUACAUGGACUUUUGCCUUUUUGUCUUGUAGUCUUUCCAAAGAUGUCAGUUUCGUAGGCCUGAAUCACUGUACAGGAUAUGACUGCUUGCUUUUCUGGAGAGAAAA